AGAGUUUGAUCCUGGCUCAGGAUGAACGCUAGCGACAGGCCUAACACAUGCAAGUCGAGGGGCAGCACAUGAGUAGCAAUACGAUGGUGGCGACCGGCGCACGGGUGAGUAACACGUAUGCAACCUACCUUCUACCAGGGGAUAACCCGUUGAAAGACGGACUAAUACCCUAUAAUACAGGGGCUCCGCAUGGAGAUAUUUGUUAAAGAUUCAUCAGUAGAAGAUGGGCAUGCGCAUGAUUAGCUAGUUGGCGGGGUAACGGCCCACCAAGGCAUCGAUCAUUAGGGGUUCUGAGAGGAAGGUCCCCCACACUGGUACUGAGACACGGACCAGACUCCUACGGGAGGCAGCAGUGAGGAAUAUUGGUCAAUGGGCGAGAGCCUGAACCAGCCAAGUCGCGUGAAGGAAGACUGUCCUAUGGAUUGUAAACUUCUUUUGUACGGGAAUAAAGUGGGCUACGUGUAGCCUUUUGUAUGUACCGUACGAAUAAGGAUCGGCUAACUCCGUGCCAGCAGCCGCGGUAAUACGGAGGAUCCGAGCGUUAUCCGGAUUUAUUGGGUUUAAAGGGUGCGUAGGUGGAUUGAUAAGUCAGUGGUGAAAGUUUGCAGCUUAACUGUAAAAUUGCCGUUGAAACUGUCGGUCUUGAGUGCAAAUGAGGUANGCGGAAUGCGUCGUGUAGCGGNGAAAUGCUUAGAUAUGACNCANAACUCCGAUUGCGAAGGCAGCUUACUGGGAUGCAACUGACACUGAGGCACNAAAGCGUGGGUAUCAAACAGGAUUAGAUACCCUGGUAGUCCACGCNNUAAACGAUGAAUACUAGCUGUCUGCGAUAUANNGUANGCGGCACAGCGAAAGCNNUAAGUAUUCCACCUGGGGANUACNUUCGCCAGAAUG
rnacentral:rRNA from 1 species